CCGCAGUCGAACGAUGAUGCCCAGCUUGCUGGGCGGAUUAGUGGCGAACGGGUGAGUAAUACGUGAGUAACCUGCCCUUGACUCUGGGAUAAGCCUGGGAAACUGGGUCUAAUACUGGAUACUACCUCUUACCGCAUGGUGGGUGGUGGAAAGGGUUUUACUGGUUUUGGAUGGGCUCACGGCCUAUCAGCUUGUUGGUGGGGUAAUGGCUCACCAAGGCGACGACGGGUAGCCGGCCUGAGAGGGUGACCGGCCACACUGGGACUGAGACACGGCCCAGACUCCUACGGGAGGCAGCAGUGGGGAAUAUUGCACAAUGGGCGGAAGCCUGAUGCAGCGACGCCGCGUGAGGGAUGACGGCCUUCGGGUUGUAAACCUCUUUCAGUAGGGAAGAAGCGAGAGUGACGGUACCUGCAGAAGAAGCGCCGGCUAACUACGUGCCAGCAGCCGCGGUAAUACGUAGGGCGCAAGCGUUGUCCGGAAUUAUUGGGCGUAAAGAGCUCGUAGGCGGUUUGUCGCGUCUGCUGUGAAAGCCCGGGGCUCAACCCCGGGUCUGCAGUGGGUACGGGCAGACUAGAGUGCAGUAGGGGAGACUGGAAUUCCUGGUGUAGCGGUGAAAUGCGCAGAUAUCAGGAGGAACACCGAUGGCGAAGGCAGGUCUCUGGGCUGUUACUGACGCUGAGGAGCGAAAGCAUGGGGAGCGAACAGGAUUAGAUACCCUGGUAGUCCAUGCCGUAAACGUUGGGCACUAGGUGUGGGGGACAUUCCACGUUUUCCGCGCCGUAGCUAACGCAUUAAGUGCCCCGCCUGGGGAGUACGGCCGCAAGGCUAAAACU
rnacentral:rRNA from 1 species